CGCAUGGUUUCAUUAUUAAAGGAUUCCGGUAAAGGAUGGGGAUGCGUUCCAUUAGGUUGUUGGUGAGGUAACGGCUCACCAAGCCUUCGAUGGAUAGGGGUUCUGAGAGGAAGGUCCCCCACAUUGGAACUGAGACACGGUCCAAACUCCUACGGGAGGCAGCAGUGAGGAAUAUUGGUCAAUGGGCGCUAGCCUGAACCAGCCAAGUAGCGUGAAGGAUGAAGGCUCUAUGGGUCGUAAACUUCUUUUAUAUAAGAAUAAAGUGCAGUAUGUAUACUGUUUUGUAUGUAUUAUAUGAAUAAGGAUCGGCUAACUCCGUGCCAGCAGCCGCGGUAAUACGGAGGAUCCGAGCGUUAUCCGGAUUUAUUGGGUUUAAAGGGAGCGUAGGUGGACUGGUAAGUCAGUUGUGAAAGUUUGCGGCUCAACCGUAAAAUUGCAGUUGAUACUGUCAGUCUUGAGUACAGUAGAGGUGGGCGGAAUUCGUGGUGUAGCGGUGAAAUGCUUAGAUAUCACGAAGAACUCCGAUUGCGAAGGCAGCUCACUGGACUGCAACUGACACUGAUGCUCGAAAGUGUGGGUAUCAAACAGGAUUAGAUACCCUGGUAGUCCACACAGUAAACGAUGAAUACUCGCUGUUUGCGAUAUACAGUAAGCGGCCAAGCGAAAGCAUUAAGUAUUCCACCUGGGGAGUACGCCGGCAACGGUGAAACUCAAAGGAAUUGACGGGGGGCCCGCACAAGCGGAGGAACAUGUGGUUUAAUUCGAUGAUACGCGAGGGAACCUUUACCCGGGCUUAAAUUUGCAGUGGAAAUGAUGUGGAAAACAUGUCAGUGAGCAAUCACCGCUGUGAAGUGCUGCAUGC
rnacentral:rRNA from 1 species